CGCCGCUCGGCUGGCCCCGGCCCCGCCGCUGCUGGCGGUGCCGGCGGAUGAGUCGGCGUGGCGGUUGGCCGCCGGUGGCGGCGG
rnacentral:tRNA from 2 species